GCUAGGUCGGUAAGUAUCUAGGGUUAUACAUGCUAGGUCGGUAAGUAUCUAGGGUUAUACAUGCUAGGUCGGUAAGUAUCUAGGGUUAUACAUGCUAGGUCGGUAAGUAUCUAGGGUUAUACAUGCUAGGUCGGUAAGUAUCUAGGGUUAUACAUGCUAGGUCGGUAAGUAUCUAGGGUUAUACAUGCUAGGUCGGUAAGUAUCUAGGGUUAUACAUGCUAGGUCGGUAAGUAUCUAGGGUUAUACAUGCUAGGUCGGUAAGUAUCUAGGGUUAUACAUGCUAGGUCGGGUAAAAUCAUACUACUCGCAGCGUCGUACGUUUAACAUCAGCUAACUUUCUAUACGGAUAGUUAAGGUUUAUAAGGGACAAAUAAACCGAUUAAGAAACGCAUUCUACACCCGAUGAAUCGUGUGUGUUUUUUUAAAGAGUCAAAUUCGUCCAUAUUGUUCAUGGUUAUAAUUAAUAUCUUGUAAUAUAAAGGGAAUCUUCAGAUUGACCAGCAGCAGACAAAACAUGAA